GACUAUUAAGUUUUAAACAUAUGUUUUGAAAACAUAGAUAGGAGGUAAACUCCAAUAGUUU
rnacentral:tRNA from 1 species